rnacentral:rRNA from 1 species
AUUGAACGCUGGCGGCAGGCCUAACACAUGCAAGUCGAACGAGGGGCAGGGGGGAGAAUAAUGUCGGUGAAACUCCCAUAUGGAGGGGGAUAACUCCGGAAAACGGUAGCUAAUCCCGCAUACCUGCCAAUGUGCCCAGGUGGGAUUAGCCAGUUGGUGGGGUAACGGCUUACAAAGGCGACGAUCCCUAGCUGUGCUGAGAGGAUGACCAGCCACACUGGAACUGAGACACGGUCCAGACUCCUACGGGAGGCAGCAGUGGGGAAUAUUGCGCAAUGGGCGCAAGCCUGACGCAGCCACGCCGCGUGUAUGAAGAAGGCCUUCGGGUUGUAAAGCUCUGUCAGCAGGGAGGCGUUACCCACAGAAGAAGCACCGGCUAACUCCGUGCCAGCAGCCGCGGUAAUUC